UCAAAAGAACGAAACCAGGAGACUUGACAUGCUGUAAGCAUAGCUAUCCAUUUCAAACAGCUACAAGGAAGACUUAUUUGCACAUAAUUACUAUUUCAAGAUAAUUUCUCUUGAUCCUGACACCGCAAGGCUGGAAAAGAUACUGUACAAGGGAGCUGAGGUUAAUAUAUAUAUAUAUAUAUAUAUAUACAUAUAUGCAUAUAUACACAAAACAUACAUAUGUGUCAAGGGAAGGAAUGAAUGUAGGAUAAAAGAUGACAGAAACUUCUUGGGAUUGGGAGGAGAAGCCUGGAGAACUGGAAUUUCUAGGAAGGAAGAGGGGCAGAAGAGCUCUGGAGUAUGGACAACCAGCAGAUUACAUAUGAAGGGGCAUGAAAGAUGCCAGGUUUAGUGACUGCCAGGGGAUACUGAGGAAGAAGUUGUCUCAUUUACGUCCCAAACCACAAGCCUGAAAGUUCACUUUGCACAGGCUUCCUGAAUAGGGAUGGGGAGUCUGAGAAGAACCUUUAAAUUUGACAGUUCUCUCAUAUUGUUUCAUGAAGCUUUUAACUCACAUAAUGUGUCUCUUUUUCUGAAAGAGAAAUGACUUUGAAAAACCUUAGAACUCUUUUGAGUGCACGAAGAUAUGUUCUCAAGGUAUAUAAUAAAACAUAGAGUUUUGGAAAUGAUCUUCA
rnacentral:lncRNA from 1 species